AUGAAGACGAUCCUGGCGUCGGAGACGAUGGAGAUCCCGGAGGAGGUGACGGUGAAGGUGUCGGCGAAGAUGAUCUCGGUGACGGGUCCCCGGGGCACGCUGACCCGCAACUUCAAGCACCUCAACCUCGACUUCCAGCUGCAGGAGGGCGGGCGGAGGCUCAAGGUGGACGCCUGGUUCGGCACCCGCAAGACCAUGGCCGCCAUCCGCACCGCCAUCUCCCACGUCCAGAACCUCAUCACGGGGGUCACCAAGGGCUUCCGCUACAAGAUGCGCUUCGUGUAUGCUCACUUCCCCAUCAACGCCUCCAUCACCGCCGCCAACCGCGGCAUCGAGAUCAGGAACUUCCUCGGCGAGAAGAAGGUGAGGAAGGUGGACAUGCUCGACGGGGUCACCAUCCUGCGGUCCGAGAAGGUCAAGGACGAGAUCGUCCUCGACGGCAACGACAUCGAGCUCGUCUCCCGCUCCGCCGCCCUCAUCAACCAGAAAUGCCAUGUCAAGAACAAGGAUAUCAGGAAGUUCUUGGACGGCAUCUACGUCAGCGACAAGGGCGCCAUCAAGGAGGAGUAG
rnacentral:rRNA from 1 species